rnacentral:rRNA from 1 species
GGAAUAUUGCACAAUGGGCGCAAGCCUGAUGCAGCCAUGCCGCGUGUAUGAAGAAGGCCUUCGGGUUGUAAAGUACUUUCAGCGAGGAGGAAGGCGGUGAGGUUAAUAACCUCAUCGAUUGACGUUACUCGCAGAAGAAGCACCGGCUAACUCCGUGCCAGCAGCCGCGGUAAUACGGAGGGUGCAAGCGUUAAUCGGAAUUACUGGGCGUAAAGCGUGCGCAGGCGGUUGUGCAAGACCGAUGUGAAAUCCCCGAGCUUAACUUGGGAAUUGCAUUGGUGACUGCACGGCUAGAGUGUGUCAGAGGGGGGUAGAAUUCCACGUGUAGCAGUGAAAUGCGUAGAGAUGUGGAGGAAUACCGAUGGCGAAGGCAGCCCCCUGGGAUAACACUGACGCUCAUGCACGAAAGCGUGGGGAGCAAACA